CCCCCCAAAAACCAAAGUGUGACGGGGUUACCCAAAGUGGCCUAUAAAGGACUGUGGUAGGUGAGUAAUGUUCCCUUUUAUAAAGGAGAGGGCAAGGGUGGUGCCAGCCGCCGCGGUAAAACCAGCUCUUCAAGUGGUCGGGAUAAUUAUUGGGCUUAAAGUGUCCGUAGCCGGUUUAGUAAGUUCCUGGUAAAAUCGGGUAGCUUAACUAUCCGUAUGCUAGGAAUACUGCUAUACUAGAGGGCGGGAGAGGUCUGAGGUACUACAGGGGUAGGGGUGAAAUCUUAUAAUCCUUGUAGGACCACCAGAGGCGAAGGCGUCAGACUGGAACGCGCCUGACGGUGAGGGACGAAAGCCAGGGGAGCGAACCGGAUUAGAUACCCGGGUAGUCCUGGCCGUAAACGAUGCAUACUAGGUGACGGCACGGCCAUGAGCCGUGUCGGUGCCGUAGGGAAACCGUUAAGUGUGCCGCCUGGGAAGUACGGUCGCAAGGCUAAAACUUAAAGGAAUUGGCGGGGGA
rnacentral:rRNA from 1 species